UGUUUGUUUGGGGUUAGAAUUUGUUAGAAUACAAUGAAGUUGAUUGAUUACAAGUAAUAGAGAUAGAUAAAGAGUGUUUAAAAGUGUGUAGGAAGACUUGCUGAAAUUUGGUCCAAAAUGGGAUAAGAACCCACAACCAUUGCUUUGAAUAAUUAAAUGGCUUGUCUAAUGUUGUUUGGGGUUAGAAUAUGUUAGAAUACAAUAAAUUUGAUUAAUUACAAGUGCUAUAGGUGCAUGAAGAGUGUUUAAAAGUGUGGAGAAAGACUUGUUGAAAUUAGGUCCCAAAUGGGCUAAGAACUCGGAAACAUUGCGUUGAACCACUAAAUGAAUUAUUUAGUGUUAUUUGGGGUUAGAAUUUGUUAGAAUACAAUCAAGUUGAUUGAUUACAAGUGAUAGAGAUAGAUGAAGAGUGUUUAAAAGUGUGUAGAGAGACUUGCUGAAAUUUGAUCCAAAAUGGGCUAAGAACCCAUAACCCAUUGCUUUGAAGCAUUAAAUGUCUUGGAUAGUGUUGUUUGGGGUUAGAAUAUGUUAGAAUACAAUAAAUUUGACUGAUUACAAGUGCUAGAGGUGCAUGAAGAGUGAUUAGAAGUGUGGAGAAAGACUUGUUGAAACUAGAUCCCAAAUGGGCUAAGAACUCGGAAACAUUGCGUUGAACCAUUAAAUGAAUUAUUUAGUGUUAUUUGGGGUUAUAAUUUGUUAGAAUACAAUCAAGUUGAUUGAUUACAAGUGAUAGAGAUAGAUGAAGAGUGUUUAAAAGUGUGUAGGAAAACUUGCUGAAAUUUGGUCCAAAAUGGGAUAAGAACCCACAACCUUUGCUUUGAAUAAUUAAAUAGCUUGGGUAAUGUUGUUUGGGGUUAGAAUAUGUUAAAUAGCUUGGGUCCCAAAUGGGCUAAAAACUCGGACACAUUGCGUUGAACCACUAAAUGACUUAUUUAGUGUUGUUUGGAGUUAGAAUUUGUUAGAGUACAAUGAAUUUGAUUGAUUUCAAGUGAUAGAUAUGCAUGAAGAGUGUUUAAAAGUGUGUAGAGAGACUUGCUGAAAUUUGAUCCAAAAUGGGACAAGAACCCACAACCAUUGUUUUGAAGAAUUAAAUGGCCUGUCUAAUGUUGUUUGGGGUUAGAAUAUGUUAGAUUACAAUAAAUUUGAUUAAUUACAAGUGCUAGAGCUGCAUGAAGAGUGUUUAGAAGUGUGGAGAAAGACUUGUUGAAAUUGGGUCCCAAAUGGGCUAAGAACUACGAAACAUUGCAGUGAACCACUAAAUCACUUAUCUAGUGUUGUUUGGGGUUAGAAUAUGUUAGAAUACAAUGAAUUUGAUUGAUUCAAAGUGCUAGAGAUGCAUGAAGAGUGUUUAAAAGUUUGUAGAGAGACUUGCUAAAAUUUAGUCCAAAAUGGGCUAAGAACCCACAACCAUUGCUUUGAAGCAUUAAAUGGCUUGUAUAGUAUUGUUUGGGGUUAGAAUAUGUUAGAAUACAAUAAAUUUGAUUGAUUACAAGUGCUAGAGGUGCAUGAAGAGUGUUUAGAAGUGUGGAGAAAGACUUGUUGAAAUUGGGUCCCAAAUGGGAUAAGAACUAGGACACAUUGCGUUGAACCACUAAAUAACUUAUCUAGGGUUGUUUGGCGUUAGAAUAUGUUAGAAUACAAUGAAGUUGAUUGAUUACUAGUGCUAGAGAUACAUGAAGAGAGUUUAAAAGUGUAUGGAAAGACUUGCUGAAAUUUGGCCCAAAAUGGGCUAAGAACCCACAACCAUUGCUUUGAAGAAUUAAAUGGCUUGUCUAGUGUUGUUUGGAGUUAGAAUAUGUUAGCAUACAAUAAAUUUGAUUGAUUACAAGGGCUAGAGGUGCAUGAAGAGUGUUUAGAAAUGUGGCGAAAGACUUGUUGAAAUUAGGUCUCAAAUGCGCUAAGAACUAGAAAACAUUGCGUUGAACCAAUAAAUGACUUAUCUAGUGUUGUUUGGGAUUAUAAUAUGUUAGAAUACAAUGAAGUUGAUUGAUUACAAGUGCUAGAGAUACAUGAAGAGUGUUUAAAAGUGGGUAGAAAGACUUGCUGAAAUUUGGUCCAAAAUGGGCUAAGAACCCACAACCAUUGCUUUGAAGAAUUAAAUGGCGUGUCUAGUGUUUUUUGGGGUUAGAAUAUGUUAGCAUACAAUAAAUUUGAUUGAUUACAAGGGCUAGAGGUGCAUGAAGAGUGUUUAGAAGUGUGGAGAAAGACUUGUUGAAAUUGGGUCCCAAAUGGACUAAUAACUCGGAAACAUUGCGUUGAACCACUAAAUGACUUAUCUAGUGUUGUUUGGGGUUAGAAUAUGUUAGAAUACAAUGAAGUUGAUUGAUUACAAGUGCUACAGAUACAUGAACAGUGUUUACAAGUGUGGAGGAAGACUUGCUGAAAUUUGGUCCAAAAUAGGAUAAAAUCCACAACCAUUGCUUUGAAUAAUAAAAUGGCUUGUCUAAUGUUUUUUGGGGUUGGAAUAUGUUAGAAUACAAUAAAUUUGAUUAAUUCCAAGUGCUAGAGGUGCAUGAAGAGUGUUUAGAAGUGUGGAGAAAGACUUGUUGAAAUUAGGUCCCAAAUGAGCUAAGAACUAGGAAACAUUGCGUUGAACCACUAAAUGACUUAUCUAGUGUUGUUUAGGGUUAGAAUAUGUUAGAAUUCAAUAUACUUGAUUGAUUUCAAGUGCUAGAGAUGCAUGAAGAGUGUUUAAAAGUAUGUAGAGAGACUUGCUGAACCCACAACCAUUGCUUUGAAGCAUUAAAUGGCUUGUAUAGUGUUGUUUGGGGUUAGAAUAUGUUAGAAUACAAUAAAUUUGAUUGAUUAAAAGUGCUAGAGAUGCAUGAACUGAUUUUAGAAGUGUGGAGAAAGACUUGUUGAAAUUGGGUCCGAGAUGGGCUAAAAACUCGGAAACAUUGCGUUGAACCACUAAAUGACUUAUUUAGUGUUUGUUUGGGGUUAGAAUUUGUUAGUAUACAAUGAAGUUAAUUGAUUACAAGUAAUAGAGAUAGAUAAAGAGUGUUUAAAAGUGUGUAGAAAGAUUUGCUGAAAUUUGGUCCAAAAUGGGAUAAGAACCCACAACCAUUGCUUUGNNNNNNNNNNNNNNNNNNNNNNNNNNNNNNNNNNNNNNNNNNNNNNNNNNNNNNNNNNNNNNNNNNNNNNNNNNNNNNNNNNNNNNNNNNNNNNNNNNNNUGGGUCGCAAAUGGGCUAAGAAAUCGGAAACAUUGCGUUGAACCACUAAAUGACUUAUCUAGUGUUGUUUGGGGCUAUGAUAUGUUAGAAUACAAUGAAUUUGAUUGAUUGCAAGUGCUAGAGAUGCAGGAAGAGUGUUUAAAAGUGUGUAGAGAGACUUGCUGAAAUUUGGGCCAAAAUGGGCUAAGAACUCACAACCAUUGCUUUGAAGAAUUAAAUGGAAUGUCUAAUGUUGUUUGGUGUUAUAAUAUGUUAGAAUACAAUAAAUUUGAUUAAUUACAAGUGCUAUAGGUGCAUGAAGAGUGUUUCGAAGUGUGGAGAAAGACUUGUUUAAAUUGGGUCCCAAAUGGGCUAAAAACUCGGACACAUUGCGUUGAACCACGAAAUGACUUAUCUAGUGUUGUUUGGGGUUAGAAUAUGUUAGAAUACAAUGAAUUUGACUGAUUUCAAGUGCUAGAGAUGCAUGAAGAGUGAUUAAAAGUGUGUAGAGAGACUUGCUGAAAUUUGGUCCAAAAUGGGCUAAGAACCCACAACCAUUGCUUUGAAGAAUUAAAUGGAUUGUAUAGUGUUGUUUGGGGUUAGAAUAUGUUAGAAUACAAUAAAUUUGAUUGAUUACAACUGCUAGAGGUGCAUGAAGAGUGUUUAGAAGUGUGGAGAAAGCUUGUUGAAAUUGGGUCCGAGAUGGGCUAAAAACUCGGGAACAUUGCGUUGAACCACGAAAUGACUUAUUUAGUGUUUGUUUGGGGUUAGAAUUUGUUAGAAUACAAUGAAGUUGAUUGAUUAAAAGUAAUAGAGUUAGAUAAAGAGUGUUUAAAAGUGUGUAGGUAGACUUGCUGAAACUUGGUCCAAAAUGGGAUAAGAACCCACAACCAUUGCUUUGAAUAAUUAAAUGGCUUAUCUAAUGUUGUUUGGGACUAGAAUAUGUUAGAAUACAAUAAAUUUGAUUAAUUACAAGUGCUAUAGGUGCAUGAAGAGUG
rnacentral:lncRNA from 1 species